GAAAUGGACAUCAUUAAUAGAUUAAUCGCAUGUGCUGGAAAACAGAAAGCCAGCUGACUAUGCCCCUGUGAGAAGCAUAGGCAGUGUUUGGCUCGCAGUGGUUUCACUGAGGAAGAGGCAGGAAGUGUAGCUUGGGAGAGAUGCCCAGUAUUAUGGAUUAAUUAACAGUCUGUAUUCCUUCUCCCUAUGGACUUAAUGGACCUAUACUGUCUUCUGCCUAUGGCAGACAAAUGCAAUGCUCCAGAGAGCAAUUCACCUCAUCCUCAGAUGAUGAUUAUGAGAGAUGAGGCAAACUGUACCUCUGAGUCACCUGCUCUCCCAGAAACAAAGCUGGGAGUGAUGAGCUGUGACUUGGACAAGGAUCCUUUAACCUCAGACAGCAGAAAGAGAUGAGACUCUCGAGGGGAUGAUUCAUCCUCUUCAAUGAUAAGUAUCUGACACAGCAAUGGAGUCCAUGACUCUCCUGUCACAAAUGAUGCCCAAACAAUGACCCUAUAUCAGGGUCAACCUCAGGAGAUAAUCAGCUAUCAAGCUGACCGGUGGCAAGGAAUUAGCGCUGCUGAAAGGAAGUUGGACCCAAAAGUACUCAGUACAUGAUGUGGAUGGACUUUUGGAGAGAAUCUGCACAACAAAAGGCACUGGAGUGGAAGCUAUUGGAGCUCAGCAACUUGGAGCAGAGCAUGCAGACCCUAAGCCUAUUGCUCAUUCACCACUGCAAGAGAAGAAGGAUCAAACCUCCAGGUUUGGUGACGGUCAGUGCGUGGGAGCUGGAGCUGCAGAAAGCUGCUGCUGAGACAUAUGCUGGUGUUUGGACUCUCACUCAUUCCAGCUGUUGGCAUUGUUGCAAUGUAUUUUUCUGAACCUUUUAGCUGUUGUAGCAGUUGUUCAGUGCUCCAGAAAAUUCUAAGAUAGGUCUAACAACAUUGAAAGUAUGUUUGAAUGUUGUGCUAUGUCUGCAUUCUAAAUUAGAAAACAGUAUUUGCUAUAAAAUGAUGUGCAUUCAUGUGCAGUAGAUUGGCAAUGUAGGAAGUUUUCCCAUAAUUGGUUGUAUAAUCCAACUUGACUGGCUGAAUAUCUUCUGGUAUUUAAGAAUGUAAUGUGUAUAUUUACAACUGUAUGUCUUACCUGCACCUGCCUGGCUUUCAUAAUUCUGGUUCUGAAUAUGUAAUUUCAGUGAUUUAAAUAUAUAUAUAUGUAGUUCCCUAUUAAAAACUAAAAAUAAAGGCGGCAUUUAUGACCCCUGAGGAAAGAAUAGCUAAAGCAUGCUAUGUUCUUAAUUUUUUAAAUUGUUGGACACAGAUAACGGGGGGG
ensembl:lncRNA